rnacentral:rRNA from 1 species
UUUUGUGGGGUGCUCGAGUGGCGAACGGGUGAGUAACACGUGAGUAACCUGCCCUUGACUUUGGGAUAGCUUCAGGAAACUGGGGCUAAUACCGGAUAUGACCUUUCUCCUUAUGGGGUUUGGUGGAAAGUUUUCGGUGUAGGAUGAGCCCGCGGCCUAUCAGCUUGUUGGUGGGGUGAUGGCCUACCAAGGCGACGACGGGUAGCCGGCCUGAGAGGGUGGACGGUCACACUGGGACUGAGACACGGCCCAG